GACGAACGCUGGCGGCGUGCCUAAUACAUGCAAGUCGAACGCUUCUUUCCUCCCGAGUGCUUGCACUCAAUUGGAAAGAGGAGUGGCGGACGGGUGAGUAACACGUGGGUAACCUACCCAUCAGAGGGGGAUAACACUUGGAAACAGGUGCUAAUACCGCAUAACAGUUUAUGCCGCAUGGCAUAAGAGUGAAAGGCGCUUUCGGGUGUCGCUGAUGGAUGGACCCGCGGUGCAUUAGCUAGUUGGUGAGGUAACGGCUCACCAAGGCCACGAUGCAUAGCCGACCUGAGAGGGUGAUCGGCCACACUGGGACUGAGACACGGCCCAGACUCCUACGGGAGGCAGCAGUAGGGAAUCUUCGGCAAUGGACGAAAGUCUGACCGAGCAACGCCGCGUGAGUGAAGAAGGUUUUCGGAUCGUAAAACUCUGUUGUUAGAGAAGAACAAGGACGUUAGUAACUGAACGUCCCCUGACGGUAUCUAACCAGAAAGCCACGGCUAACUACGUG
rnacentral:rRNA from 2 species